GCUGUGGGCCCUCUUGUGGGCAUCCUUUUUACUAGUAUGAGGUGUCACACCAGCACCUCUCUUUCCUCAUUUGAUUGGGUUGUGAAGGUAAUUUGAUUAGAGUUUAUCCCACUUUUCUACGACAUCUAGCGUGUAUGUGAAGUAGAGGGUCUGCACAUCCAGACCUUUGUGAAGGAUUGUUUCAGAUUUUAGAGAUUUGAUCUCUAGUUCUAUUACUAA
rnacentral:lncRNA from 1 species